rfam:Capsicum annuum cultivar Zunla-1 unplaced genomic scaffold scaffold1276, whole genome shotgun sequence
UAAAUGGAUUUAAUGAAAUCCACCCCUAUAAUAUAUGGGUAAAUAU